AGUAGAAUGGCUGAGGUAUAAAUAUAGGUGAUAGAUUGUAAAUCUAUUAAGGAGAUAUAAUUCUCUUCUACUA
rnacentral:tRNA from 1 species